UUUGUGUAAGGGGCAGAGCAGAAUUUGUUGUUAAUCGCUGAAAAUAUUAAGAUAUUAUAUACAUUUUGAACAUUUUUUUUGGUGUUUCCGGACAUUCCAGCAAAACAAGGGAGUGCUCCAACCCUUCCAGUCACCAAUCAAGCCAUGGAAAUGAUAGGAGGCACUCCACUUCACAUUUUCAAUCACCUUUGGAUUCAUCUCCUGAGUGUUCUUCUUCUAGAUCUGAAACAUCAAGGGCUCCAACUGGUGACAGCAUGGAUGUAUUUCCAAUGCCUAUGUCCAAAUUUCAGAAAUGUGUCCUUAAAAAGCUGGUGGAGAUCAUGCAGGAAGUCAAGAGAAUUGGAAGUGCAGAACCUAGUAAUUCAACAUACCACAUUAGACGAAUGGAGAGGAUAGAGGAGCUGAAUGCAUUGGAGGAGAAGCUUCAAAAUAAUGAAGAGAGACAUGUUCUGGUAAAAAUAUAAUUAUUUACCAGUAUGCUUAUUCGUUUCUUUAAAAGUUAGCUUAAUUACAAUAAACAAUUAUGUACUGUAUGUAAUUUGUUUAAUUAGUCCUGGCAAUUUUUUCUU